rnacentral:rRNA from 1 species
AAAUUGAAGAGUUUGAUCAUGGCUCAGAUUGAACGCUGGCGGCAGGCCUAACACAUGCAAGUCGAACGGUAACAGGAAGCAGCUUGCUGCUUCGCUGACGAGUGGCGGACGGGUGAGUAAUGUCUGGGAAACUGCCUGAUGGAGGGGGAUAACUACUGGAAACGGUGGCUAAUACCGCAUAACGUCGCAAGACCAAAGAGGGGGACCUUCGGGCCUCUUGCCAUCAGAUGUGCCCAGAUGGGAUUAGCUUGUUGGUGAGGUAACGGCUCACCAAGGCGACGAUCCCUAGCUGGUCUGAGAGGAUGACCAGCCACACUGGAACUGAGACACGGUCCAGACUCCUACGGGAGGCAGCAGUGGGGAAUAUUGCACAAUGGGCGCAAGCCUGAUGCAGCCAUGCCGCGUGUAUGAAGAAGGCCUUCGGGUUGUAAAGUACUUUCAGCGGGGAGGAAGGUGUUGCGGUUAAUAACCGCAGCAAUUGACGUUACCCGCAGAAGAAGCACCGGCUAACUCCGUGCCAGCAGCCGCGGUAAUACGGAGGGUGCAAGCGUUAAUCGGAAUUACUGGGCGUAAAGCGCACGCAGGCGGUCUGUCAAGUCGGAUGUGAAAUCCCCGGGCUCAACCUGGGAACUGCAUUCGAAACUGGCAGGCUUGAGUCUUGUAGAGGGGGGUAGAAUUCCAGGUGUAGCGGUGAAAUGCGUAGAGAUCUGGAGGAAUACCGGUGGCGAAGGCGGCCCCCUGGACAAAGACUGACGCUCAGGUGCGAAAGCGUGGGGAGCAAACAGGAUUAGAUACCCUGGUAGUCCACGCCGUAAACGAUGUCUACUUGGAGGUUGUGCCCUUGAGGCGUGGCUUCCGGAGCUAACGCGUUAAGUAGACCGCCUGGGGAGUACGGCCGCAAGGUUAAAACUCAAAUGAAUUGACGGGGGCCCGCACAAGCGGUGGAGCAUGUGGUUUAAUUCGAUGCAACGCGAAGAACCUUACCUGGUCUUGACAUCCACGGAAGGUCUCAGAGAUGAGACUGUGCCUUCGGGAACCGUGAGACAGGUGCUGCAUGGCUGUCGUCAGCUCGUGUUGUGAAAUGUUGGGUUAAGUCCCGCAACGAGCGCAACCCUUAUCCUUUGUUGCCAGCGAUUAGGUCGGGAACUCAAAGGAGACUGCCAGUGAUAAACUGGAGGAAGGUGGGGAUGACGUCAAGUCAUCAUGGCCCUUACGACCAGGGCUACACACGUGCUACAAUGGCGCAUACAAAGAGAAGCGACCUCGCGAGAGCAAGCGGACCUCAUAAAGUGCGUCGUAGUCCGGAUUGGAGUCUGCAACUCGACUCCAUGAAGUCGGAAUCGCUAGUAAUCGUGGAUCAGAAUGCCACGGUGAAUACGUUCCCGGGCCUUGUACACACCGCCCGUCACACCAUGGGAGUGGGUUGCAAAAGAAGUAGGUAGCUUAACCUUCGGGAGGGCGCUUACCACUUUGUGAUUCAUGACUGGGGUGAAGUCGUAACAAGGUAACCGUAGGGGAACCUGCGGUUGGAUCACCUCCUUA